AUAGUUACCUGGACGGGUUCGAUGGGUGAUCAAAAAGGCCUAUGGUCUAGGUUGGCAAUCUUCAUUGCACUUUCGAAGGGGUGCCAAUCUAUGGUCUCCCUAAUAUGAGAGAGCCAACGUCAUAGUUUGUGUUCAGUGGGGGCCUGCGUGCGCGCGGCUAUUGC